rnacentral:rRNA from 1 species
GUGAAAUACAAAUCGGACUAGGAUAUAGCUGGUUUUCUGCGAAAUCUAUUUAGGUAGAUAGCUUAAUGGUAAUGUUUAUUAGUGGGUAUAGCACUGAAUAUCUAAUUUCAUUUGAAGGGAGUAUGAAAGUACUUACUUUGGAUAUUUAAUCUCAGAAUAACUAAUAGAUGAAAAGUAUUAAGUUGUCAGACUUGUUGCGAUAAGGUGAUAAGUCAAGAGGGAAACAGCCCAGAAUAAUUUAUAAAGUUCCAAAAUUGUUAUUGAA